rnacentral:lncRNA from 1 species
GGUAAGGAGCUGGAGAGGAGCUAUCGGGAGUCGUGGACCUGGGAGGAGAUCCUAGCAGGAGAGGGACCAUGGAGGAAGGCUGGAGAGGACCGGGAGUGUUUUGCUGGAACAAGGUUGGCAUGGAAGCCUGAUAGGCAGCCCCAAAACAAUUUUUUUGGGGGGAGGGGCACACGGGUAGUUUGGCUGGGCCAGGGUUGAGCCCUAAGCCAACUCCCCGUGCUUAUCAGAGGCAGCGUGGUACUGGUCAGGCCCGGUGCUAUGGGCUGACGUGUAUGGCGUCGAGGCCAAGCAUCCAGAGGCCGGUAUGCUCGGUACCAGCGUCCUGCAUUUGCCGGGGGGAAGCGGGCACCCAGCCAGUAAGGGUGGUGCCAGUCCUGCACUCGAGACCGCCAGUGCGCCUUCACGGCCCAGUGUAUCCUGUUCCUGCUCCCCGCACUAGCCCUGAGGUGCGUGUCUCCAGUCUGGCGUCUCCAAAGCCAGCACCACGCACCAGGCCUUCAGUGCGUCAGCCCAGUCCAAGAUGUCCUGUUCCCGCUCCUCGCACUAGCCUUGGGGUGCGUGUCUCCAGUCUGUUACCUCCACUACCAGCCCCACGCACCAGGCCUUCAGUGCGUCAGCCCAGUCCAGCUCGUCCUGCUCCUGCUCCUCGCACUAGCCCUGUGGUGCGUGUCCCUAGUCUGGCACUUCCUAAGCCAGCUCCACGCAUCAGGUCUUCAGUGCGCAGUCCCCGUCCAGAGCUUCCGGCAACAGUGCCUCGUCCAGAGUGUCCGGCAACAGUGCCUCGUCCAGAGUGUCCGGCGACAGUGCCCCGUCCAGAGUGUCCGGCGACAGUGCCCCGUCCAGAGUGUCCGGCAACAGUGCCCCGUCCAGAGCUUCCGGCGACAGUGCCCCGUAGAGAGAUGGCCCACAGUCCGGAACCGAUAGAGACGGUCCACAGUCCGGAACCGAGAGAGAUGGCCCACAGUCCGGAGCCGAGAGAGACGGCCCACAGUCCGGAGCCGAGAGAGACGGCCCACAGUCCGGAGCCGAGAGAGACGGCCCACAGUCCGGAGCCGAGAGAGACGGCCCACAGUCCGGAGCCGAGAGAGACGGCCCACAGUCCGGAGCCGAGAGAGACGGCCUACAGUCCGGAAUCGGAGCCGAGAGAGACGGCCCACAGUCCGGAGCCGAGAGAGACGGCCUACAGUCCGGAAUUGGCGCAGCGAGAGUCGCCCUACAGUCCGGAAUCGGCGCAGCAAGAGUCGCCCUACAGUCCGCAAUCGGCGCAGCGAGAGUUGCCCUACAGUCCGGAAUCGGCGCAGCCAGAGUCGCCCUACAGUCCGGAAUCGGCGCAGCCAGAGUCGCCCUACAGUCCGGAAUCGGCGCAGCCAGAGUCGCCCUACAGUCCGGAAUCGG